UGGGGAAUAUUGGACAAUGGGGGCAACCCUGAUCCAGCAAUGCCGCGUGUGUGAAGAAGGUCUUCGGAUUGUAAAGCACUUUCGACGGGGACGAUGAUGACGGUACCCGUAGAAGAAGCCCGGCUAACUUCGUGCCAGCAGCCGCGGUAAUACGAAGGGGGCUAGCGUUGCUCGGAAUGACUGGGCGUAAAGGGCGUGUAGGCGGUUUACACAGUCAGAUGUGAAAUCCCCGGGCCUAACCUGGGAGCUGCAUUUGAUACGUGUAGACUAGAGUGUGAGAGAGGGUUGUGGAAUUCCCAGUGUAGAGGUGAAAUUCGUAGAUAUUGGGAAGAACACCGGUGGCGAAGGCGGCAACCUGGCUCAUGACUGACGCUGAGGCGCGAAAGCGUGGGGAGCAAACAGGAUUAGAUACCCUGGUAGUCCACGCUGUAAACGAUGUGUGCUAGAUGUUGGGUAACUUUGUU
rnacentral:rRNA from 1 species